UGUUACUAGAAUGAAAAACACAUUGAAACGCCUUAACAACGUUACGUAUAAACAAGAUUUAAUGCACCUGGUGUUAAAAGUUCAGAAAGACAUUUUUACCUGAAAAGAACAUCACCAAAUCACAUCAAGAAAGCGUUGUUAUAAAAAAGAUAAAGCACAUGAAACAUGUAAAUCUUUCUGAAAAACAAAGUUUGUCGUCUGACUGCCAUACCCUUUGUAUUUUAGGGACCUAUAAAAGAGCUACACUUCCGAACGAAACCAGCGGCCUUCAGAUCGAGCCACCGCUCCUCCAGCUAAAACUAUGCUACGUCCUCAUAUCAACGAAUUAUGCUCUUCUAUCAAUACAAUAAUUUCGACAAGCGAUUGAAUAUGACGGCAAUAGACGAGUAAUUAGACGACCAAUUAGUGAUAUACGAACAAGACGAGACGAUGAAAGAGAACAAAUGAUGCAAAUUGACGUUUUGGCGGUGGUAGACUAUUCUUUGUAUAAAUUUAUGCAACAGCAAGCAGAAAAUACAAACUAUACAAAAGAAAUAACAACUGAAGAUACAUUGAUUUAUCGUUAAUGGGACGAAUAUUUAGAGAGAUAGAUGCACGUUUCGAGAGCGUACGAAGAGGGAACGUCAACGUUCGAGUUAACUUGGCAGAUAUUAUCAU
rnacentral:lncRNA from 1 species